AUGUGCGACUGGGCGUCAGUGAGAGCGUCCGCCGCAGUGACACGUGACCUCUCUCUGUAUUUUGGGACGUUCCACACGAGGCGGGACGCAGACACGUUCACAGGCGCGAGCAGAUGUUUCUGCUCCGGGAAAACCACACGAAGAAGAAGAAGAAGAAGAAGAAGCCGCAUUGUUUCCGCAGAAGAAGAAGAGCUCAGAGACGUCGGUCCUCUGCAGACAUGGCUAAGGAUGUCCCUGGACUCUGACUGCGUGCUGCUGUCAUUGAGGGGCUCCAGGACGUCCUGCGUCCUCCAAAGCGAGGACGAGAAGGAUGACCCCCCUGGAGCGGGAGAGGAGAGUGUCCUGGAGAUGCUGAGCUGCUCCAAGUUCUCCGGGCUGGAGACAUGGCUCUGCAUGCCGUCCUCCUUACUGCUGCCCAGCGGCCCGGACCUCACCCCCACCUCCUCCUCUUCACAUGCAUCCAACCAGCCGACCUCCUCUGCCUCAUCCUCCUCAUCCUCAGCCUCCAACUGCCGUCGCUCCACCUGCAGCGAUCCAGGAGAGACGCUCAGGUCGUGGGACGGCGACUCCUCCCUCCCCCCUCCUGCUCUCCUCCCAGUCUCCUCCACCCCCGCUGGACAGUCCUCCUCCCCCCCCCUCCUCCUCCUCCGCCGGGGGGGGCAUCAGGAAGCGUCGGCGCCUUGCUGCCAGUCCCGGAGGACUCCACUGGAACUCUGCAGGUUUGGUGCAACGGGACUGGUCACCUGA
ensembl:lncRNA